rnacentral:tRNA from 1 species
UAGCGGUAUAGCAUAACUGGCAAUGCAGCAGUCUCUGAAGCUGUCUUAUUAAGGUUCAAAUCCUUAUGCCGCUGCCAC